rnacentral:lncRNA from 1 species
CCGCCGCAAGAAUAAAUGACAAUAUACCAUACUAGCUAAGCAGACUUUGGGUGACUGUUUUUGGGUGAUUAAGAAUUAAUUUUUCAAAAAAAUACCCAUGGAACUGAGCUACUUGGGUAUGUGAGUGGUGAGAGAUGAGCAGGCGAGAGCAUUAUUUUGAAAAGAAGAAAGGACCAAACUUCUGAUAAAAAUUUGCGGGGACAUGAUCUUUGAUUGCACCCAAACGAUUCAGAUCUAAUGAUUAUAGAGAGUCGGUUUGAGGCAUUGGAAUAUUUAACUAAUAAGUCAUCAGC